rnacentral:rRNA from 1 species
UACGUAGGUCCCGAGCGUUGUCCGGAAUUAUUGGGCGUAAAGCGAGCGCAGGUGGUUUAAUAAGUCUGAUGUAAAAGGCAGUGGCUCAACCAUUGUGUGCAUUGGAAACUGUUAGACUUGAGUGCAGUAGAGGAGAGUGGAAUUCCAUGUGUAGCGGUGAAAUGCGUAGAUAUAUGGAGGAACACCGGUGGCGAAAGCGGCUCUCUGGACUGUAACUGACACUGAGGCUCGAAAGCGUGGGUAGCAAACAGG